rnacentral:rRNA from 1 species
CAGUCGCCACGGGAAUACGGAGGGUGCAAGCGUUAAUCGGAAUUACUGGGCGUAAAGCGCACGCAGGCGGUUUGUUAAGUCAGAUGUGAAAUCCCCGGGCUCAACCUGGGAACUGCAUUUGAAACUGGCAAGCUAGAGUCUCGUAGAGGGGGGUAGAAUUCCAGGUGUAGCGGUGAAAUGCGUAGAGAUCUGGAGGAAUACCGGUGGCGAAGGCGGCCCCCUGGACGAAGACUGACGCUCAGGUGCGAAAGCGUGGGGAGCAAACAGGAUUAGAUACCCCAGUAGUCCCUGUCUCUUAUAC